GUUGUUGGAUUCACCUCAGUCCUACGUAUGUUGGAGUGGAUUGGGGUGGAAUUUAGUUCAAGUUCUACUCCAAUCCAUCCAAACAUAUAUGGAUUGAUGUGAAUCCGACU
rfam:Sorghum bicolor cultivar BTx623 chromosome 1, whole genome shotgun sequence.